UUUAAAUUGAACUAACUAACGGAUUAGGUCCACAAUUGAACUCUAAAUAUAGGCAAAUACCAGCUUUUCGGUCUCGGUCUCUAUGUUCCCUCUCCCUUUCCGUUGCCCUUCCUUGUACUCGUCCCGAUUCCCGACUGCUCUCUCGUGUCGCGGCUCCUCCCGAUGCCUCCCGAAUGAUUCUGCACGACGGGACUGCUCCGCUUUCUAUCUAUUCCUCAUUGUCUGAUCACGGUCUCUCUAUUCCUGUCGGAUCUCGCACCCUCUCCUCUCCAUCUCUAUUUCGGUAUUCGGUUACGACGCCGAUUCCUUCCCAUUCCUCUCCUCUCUGUUCACUUAUCCUUAUCCCUGUCUCUAGGUUCUCGACUACUUCUAGGCCGCUCCCUAUCACUCUUUCUCCAUCUUUCAGAGAUGCACGGUGAGAAGCCCUCAAUUUCCGAUCAUGAGAGUAUCCCCAGACUUCAAAGCGCUUUGAUCGGUGAUUCAAAUCAUCGUCAUUUCUCACUUUUGUUUGGAAAUCCAGAUCGAUUCUUUCUCCCGGGAGUCAGUGCUUCUUGUCCCAUCCAUGACUCCUUCAUGUAUUUAUCUUGGGGUUAAGUUUAGGAUUACAGGUAUUUAUUUGGGGGAUGAAGUUAAGGGUUACAGCUGUGGGAUUGGGGGAUUUAGGAUUACAGUGUUGGAGUUGUGAUUCAAGAAUAUAGCUGUUAGAUUUACACUUUUUCCAUUCACAAGUAUGGGAAUGUUCCAAUUUUCCGCCUAUAAAAAAACCUUCUCACUUGUCACUAAGUAUAUAAACUUUUGUAAAGGAGGUGGCACGAACGGGACUGCUUUAACAGCCAUAGGUACAUUAUUUUUUGUUUGUUGUCGUCAAACUAAAUAAACGAGGAGAAAGAAAUGGUUCGAAUUGGGACGAGCUAAAAAGGUUAAAGCUCAAUUUACUAAAAUUAAAAAUUUAAGAUUUAAUUUGUUACCAAAGUACAAACCUUAGGGAUUUUUUAGUCAUUUUCUCAAUUAAUUUUUAUAAAAAAGAAUAUAUACGAUCUGCAGGAAGUUUUUAUUUUUUAUCUAAGGAAAAAGGAGAUUUCACCCAUUAUACAGGUCACUGAUAAGGAUAACUUGGAAUAAAAGAAAUGAAUUCAUGAAAAUUAUCUCAUUUUCCCCUAUUUGAAUGAUUUUAAAAACAAAUUUUUAUUAAAAUCCAAUUUGAGGAAUCUCACAUAGUAAAGACAAAAAAUAAGUGUCAUUUUAGGGGGGAAAAAGAGUGUAAUUUAAGAAGAAAUUAUAAACUUUGCCAUCAAAGCUCUUUGGACCUUAUUUUUGCCUUCUCCUAAAAUUAUCAUUUUGAAUUAGUUGUUUAUAAUUUGGGGGUUAUUAUUGUAGGGUAUGACGAUAAUUAUUACUUUACCCUUGUCUUUAGGAAACUCAAGGCAUAUAGACAUAAAAGAGAUGUUAAAGACAUUAAGGAAAGAAUUAUAGCUGUGAAAGUAUUAAACGAGGGAAGAGAAAAUUUAUACAACAAUUAAAUGUUUAAAAACAAAAAAAAAGUAAUAAAAAAUAAAAAAACGAUAAUAAAAAAAGAAACUAAUAAGAACCAGAAAAUAAAAUAAAAAAUAGAAACAUAAACUAAUAACAUAAAUAGAAAUAAAAAAUAAAAAUAGAAACAGAAAUGUAAACUAAUAAGUAUACAAGUAUAUAUGAAUGAUAUGACAUGUACAGUCUCUCUAUCAAUGCGAACAUUUAUUUUGAAUGAAUGAAUUUAAUACUAAAUUUUUAUUGGUUACAAAAAUAAAUAUACAUGUCUCACUUUCACACACGAAAAGAAAAAAAAAUUAAAGAAAAAAGGAUUUCCAAAAACGGCGUGACGCCACCAAGUGCUGCGUGGACAUUGGUACACAUGCAAAGUUAAAACAAGGAGAAAAUGGGCAUUUGGUUGGAUUUUUUUGUUAAAAUUUAAAAACUGGGCUCAAUUGUGACAAAAUCAUGAUAUAUGGAAGUACAAUUUAAUUUCAAAACGUAAAUGGGGUGAGAGUGUGAUUUUAGUGAAAUCCAAGGGGUGUCAGUGAAAUUUACCCUAAUUUAUAUGAUAUCUAAACUAUUUAUAGGGAUAUAUGUUGAAGAUUUGUAUGUAUUCCGUCAAAAAUUUAGCUAGGAAAUCACUAAAAAAUUAUCCAUAUUACUAAUAAAAUAACCCAUAAUUAUUAUUUAUUUCUUAAUAUACUAUUUUUUUUUGGUUAUGUCGCCAUUUAUAAAAAGAGUAAAUUAUAUUUUGCACCCUUAUACUUGUACCAAAAUAUAUUUUUAUAUCAUUGAAAGGAAAAAUAAUAAUUGUUAAAAAAAAGUAUGAUUGUUUUGAAAAUAUAUUAUUUUAAGAAAUACUUCCGUUGGACCAAUAAAACCUUAUUAAAACUAUGGGAGUUAAAAAAAAAUUAUAGCAUAGAAUCAAUAAAUAGUAAAAGAAUAAUAAAUAAAUAAUAGAAAAAUAGAAAAAUAGAACAAAACAGAUAAGUGUUAAAAAAAACGACUAGUUACAAUUUAAAUUAUUGAUUUUGAGUUAUAAUUUAGCUCUUAAUUGAUGGGAUGGUGUGGAUGCUCAACUAUUUAAGGCUGUUUGGCAGGAAGCAUAUGGGGGGGAUAACUUUUGAAUGGGAUAAUUUUUAGAGAGGGGAUAAACUUUUAAUUUAUUGGAUGCUUUUUAGGAAUGGGUGAUUAAGGGUGGAGGAUAAGGAGAAAAUAUAUAUAGAUAAACAAAAUAUAAAACAUUUAGAUAUUAAACAUAUAGAUUUAUUUCUCUCCUCUAUAUAAAAAAAACUUUAGAUUUUAUUUGUAUUUAUAUAUUUUUUUUAUUAUCCUCCACACCCCUUAUCUUCGGAUACUUUUAGUUAGGGUUAGGCCACCCAAAAAUAAAUCUGCCUUUAUCCACCUCCGGGGCCAUAAAUUAUCCACCUCCAUAUCUGCAGCCAAACGCCGGGAAGAAAAAUAUCCGGGAAAAAAGUUAUUCCAUCUAAAUCGAUAGCCAAACAACCCUUGGGUUUAUAGCAGUUACGAUAGUCAUCCCCCAUUUGAUGAACCGUUAAAAUUCUAAUACUAACAAUACUUCCAAGCAUUGAGGUCCUGUUUGGAUGGCUAGAAUCCUCAAUUCGGAAUGGGAAUCACUUUUUUGGGUUUCUCAUUCCUAUAUUCAAAAAUUCAAGAAUCCGUUGUAGAAAAAAAAAAAUAAUAUUAUAUUCAUUUGUUUGGAAAAAAAAAAAAAACAGAAUAGAAAACAGAAAUCAAAAACUGAAAAUAGCAUAAUAAAUGAAAAAUAGAAAAAAGAAACAUAAAAGAAUAGGAAUAGAAAUGAAAGAUAGAAAGAGACGAGAAAAAAAAAUAAAAAGAAAAAAUCUAAAAAUUGAAAAUAGAAAAAAAAUGAAAAAAGAUAGAACUAGAAACUAAUAGAAAAAGAUAAAAAAUAGAAAAAGAAAAUAAAAAGAAAAAAAGAGAAAUUAAAUAAAAAAAGAGAAACUAAAAACAGAAAUAAAAACUAAAAUUAAAAAUACAAUCAGAAAAUCGAAAUAGAAACAAAAAAGUAGAAAUAUGAAUUGAAAACAUAAAAUCGAAACAGAAAUAGAAAAAAAACAUAAAUAGAAAGAAAUAGAAACUGAGAACGAAAAUAAAAAUGCAAAUAAAAAUAAAAAUAAAAAUAAAAAUUGGAAAUCAAAACAGAAGUGAAAACGCUAGAAAUUAAAAAUAAAAAUGUAAAAAAUAUAAACUAAAACCAAAAAAUAAAAAUAAAAAUAAAAUCGGAGAAUAGAAAUAGAAAAAAAAAACAAAAAAAUUAAAAAAAUAAACAAAAACCAAAAACAGAAAUACAAAUACAAAUAGAAAUGAAAUAAAAAGGAAAACCAAAAAAAUAAAACAAAAAUUAAAAGCAAAAAAAAAAAAUUUGUGAGAAAUAAAACUGAAAAUAAAAAAUAAAAAAUAAGAACAUUAAAAAACUAAAAAAAAUAAUUGUAAACUAAACACAAAAAAUAGAAAUAGAAAAAGAUAAAAAAUAGUAAACAAAAAAAAUUAUAAACUGAAAAUACAAACAUGAAAAACUAAAUGAAGAAAUAGAAAAACUUAAAUUAAAAAUCAGAUUUAACUGUAAAACACGAAAACAGAAAACAAAAAAAAUAAAAAUAAAAAAAUAAAAAUAAAAAAAAAAUAAAAACAAAUGUAAAAAAAACACAAAAAAACGAAAGAGAAAAUAGAAAAAAACGAAAUAAAAAACAGAGAUAAAGAAUAAAGAGUAAAGAAUAGAAAUAAAAAGAAAAUAAAAUAAAAAAAUAAUUUAAGAUUAAAAAUUUAAAAUAGAAACUAAAAAUAAAAAAUUAACAACAGAAAGAGAAAGAGAAAGAGAAAUAACAAAUAUGCGGACAGUAAAAAAACUAAAAACAUAAACAGGAAGCUGAAAUAAAAUUAAAAGCAGACAAUAAAUAUGAAAAACAAAUAAAUAAACAACUAAAAAACAUACAUGGAAAUAGAAAUAAAACCUGAAAAAAAUAAGAAAUAGAAAUGAAAAUUAAAAAAUAAAAGAAACCAAACAAUAAAACAUUGACAAUGAAAUGAAAAUAAAAUUAAGAACUAAAUAGAAGUUGAAAUAAAACUAAAAAUAAAAAUAAAAAAUAAACAAAUAAAAAACUUAAAAAAACAGAAUAGAAGAACUAGAAAAAAAAAUUGGAAAAAUAUAAAAGCUAAAAAGAAGAAGAAAAAAAAAGAAUACAAAAUAGGCAUAAAAAAGAGCCAUAAUGUAGAAAUAAAAAAAAGAGAAAAGAAAUUAAAAAUGGCCAUAAACAAAGAAAUUAAAAGUGAAAAUAGAAUUAUAAAGAAAAACAGAAAUAGGAAUGACAAAAAAGAAAUAGAAAUAGAAAACAUAAAACGAACCAGAAAACAAAAUCCCCUUUGCAAAAGACUGAAUAUAAAAAGAAAUAGAAAAUAAAAUUAAACAAACGAAAUAAAAAUAUAAACAGAAUGAAAUCAAAAAUAGAAGUAGAGUAUAAACAAGAAUACAAAUCGAAAUAGAAUUAAAAAAUAAAAAGAAAAAUUAGAAAAAAGGGAAAAAGAAAAGAAAAGAAAAAAAAGAGAAGUUAAAAAAGAAAAUAACAAAUAAGAAAAUUUCAAAAUAAGAAUAAAUUUAGAAAUAGAUAAUUAAAUAAAAACUAAAAUGAAAUCGAAUCCACUAAACAGAUAGAAAAUAGAAAUAAAAAAAAAAAAAAAACAGGAAAAAAAAACGAAAUAGAUAUUUAAAUAAACAUUAAAUAUAUAAAAAAAAGAAAAAUUAAAACUUAAACUAAAACUAAAAAUUAAAAAAUAGAAAUAGAAACUUAAAAGAUAAUAUAAAUUUAAAAACAUAAAAUAACUGAAAACAUAAAUAAAAUAAAAAAUUAAAACAUAAAUUAGAAAUUGAAAUACAUAACAAAAAGUAGAAAUAAAAGUAGAAAUAGAAAACAAAAAUAGGAAUAGAAGCAGAAAAUAAAAAUAGAAAUAGAAAAAAAUAUAUAUAAGAUAUAAACUAAAAAAAUAGAAUAAAAACUGAAAAUAAAAAUAGAAAUCGAUAAAAUCAAAAAAAAAUAGAAAUAGAAACAAAAAUUAAAAAAUGAGAACAUAAAAAGAAAUAAAAAUAUAAAGAUAAAAUUAUAAGAAAAAAAAAUAGAAAAAAAUUUUAAAAUUUGAGACAUAAAAACACUGAAAAACAUAAUAGAAACAAAAAUUAAAAUAAAAAUCUUAAAUAGAAAUUUAAAAUAAAAAUAGAAAUAUAAACUAAAAAUAGAAUCAGAAAACAUAAAUAGAAUCAAAAAUAGAAAUAGAAAAAACAAAAACAAAAAAUACAUAAAAAAAUCUAAACUACAAAAAAUAAAAUAUAAAAAUAAAAACAAAAAAAUAAAAAAAGUGAGAAAAAUAAAAAGAGAGAAAUAAAAAUAAAAAAUAAAAAAUAAAAAAUUGAGAACAUAAAAACUAAAAUAUUACAUGUAGGAAGAGAAGUUGUUCCUCUUAAAAGAUAGCUAAUUGCAAAAAUAAAGAAAAAAAAUUUCUAACUUUAGCCGUCAGAGUUACUACUAAUAACUACUAUAAAGGAAGUAACCAUAGCGUGUUUCAAUGGCUGUGUACUAGAUUAAUUAGCUAAAGCCAACCUAGAAUACAAAUCUUUAUACAGAUAUCUAGGGCAAAGAUAGAACCCCAUAACGCGAGAUGGUUGAAUAGAUCAAAUAUUUUAGAUUAGCUGAAAUUAUAUUCUUAUAUGCUAACAAAAACAUAAAAUAGAAAUUGAAAUACAAAACAAAAAGUAAAAAUAAAAAUAAAAAUAAAAUCAGAAAACAUAAAUAGGAAUAGAUGUAGAAAAAAAUAGAAAUAGAAGUAGAAAAAAAAUAUAAAAUAUAAACUAAAAAAAAUAGAAUAAAAAUAUAAAUUAAAAACAGACUUAGAAAAAUAAUAGAAAUUGAAAAAAAAUAUAUAAAUGAAAACUAAAACUAAAACUAGAAAUAGGAAUAAAAUCAAAAAAUAAAAUAAAAUAGAAACAAAAAAUAAAAAAUAAAAUUUGAGAACAUAAAAAACAAUGAAAACAUAAAAAAAAUAGAAAUAUAAAAUCCACAUAAACAUCAAAAAAAAUUGAGAACAUAUAAAACAACUAAAACAUAAAUCGAAACAUAAAAUUAUCCUUAAAAAAUAAAUGAGAAAUUAAAAAAUGAAAAUAGAAAUAGAAACAAACAAAACAAAAAAAUCCCUAAAAAAAAAAAAACAAAUAACAAAAUAAAAUCGAAUAAAAAAUAAAAAAUUGAGAACCAAAAAUCUGAUAACCCUAAAUAAAAACAUAAAAUAAAAAACAAAAGCAAAAAAAUAAAAUUCAAAAAAACGGAAAAUAGCACUCGAACCAAGAAAUAACAACAGAAAACAGACAAAAAUCUAGAAAAAAUAGCAAAUAAAACUCGCAACCAAAAAAGGAAAACAGAAAUAGAAAUAAAAAUAACAAAUAAAAAUAAACACCCACACAAAAACACCCAAUCUAAAACUUAACAAUAACAUUAAAACUAAAACAGCGCGACUCCAACACCUUUAACAAUUGAUUAAAUACAAACUAACACACUCCAGGUCGAAACCUACGUGUGCCCCUUAACAGAUAGCUCCUUCCCAACAAAAAAAGGAAAAAUAAUUCUAACUUUGCCUUUAGGGUUGGUAACCUAAUAAACUAUUGUAACUGAAGUAACUUUAGUGUGUUUCGAUAGUUCGUAAAGUCACUACUUAACAACCAAACGGAACUACUAAUAUUUUUAUAGAUACUUAGGCCAUAGGAAAGAACUGUGGAUACAGUCCAUGGGAGCCAAGACAAUUAAGCCAAAUAGAAAGCCCCAGGACCAAGGCUUCAUGCCUGCCAAUUCUUCAAUCCUCUCUUCCAGAAGCGCCCCCUCCCCAAUUGACAUCUGUCAGAAGACAAAGUCUUCUGAGAGAGGCGGGAGGAAAAGAAUGGCAGAGAGAGAAGGAUGCGGCUGGUGAUUGUCAACAUGGAGCCGAUCUACUCGAUAAGGAGAGAGAUCAGAUGAGAGGAAGCGAGUGGCGGGAGAAGUCAGAGAGUGAGGAAGAGGGCAGUAUAGAUUGAGUGAGUGCUGUGAGUGAAGGAGCGCCGAUGUGAGAUAGAGAGAAGAGUGAGUUGAGUGUGAUAUCCUCCUUGGUAUUUAUUGUACUUCCAGUUCUGAUAGUGAAUUCAACAAUUCCCUCCGUGACGUAGGCAUUGUGGCCGAACCACGUAAUUCUUGUCUUGGGUGUGUGUUGUGUUGGUUUCGAGUGAUGGUAACCGUUGUUGGGGCACAACAAUUGGUAUCAGGCCAAUUCGAGUCACGGGAGGUCACCGGAGGGCCACCGCGAGUCACAUUUCACUUCUGACCAAUUCGAAUGCAAAACUUGAGAUUUGAGUAUACCAUCACCGUCGUCUCUGUCGAUACGAAGCUCCAGCACCAAACGGAGCAAAAUCGGACUCCAAACGAGCCCUCAGCGCCGAUUGAAAAGGUCGGAGCAUCAGAUCCACGGCCACACGCGCGCGAGAGGGUGAAGACGACUGAGCUUCACGCUCCACGCGCUGCCCGCGCCCGCACGGCAUCGAGGAGGCAUGUCGCGCGGCCCAGCGCCAACACGCGCGCCCAAGUGGCUCACGCGCACGCACGCGCCUUGCACGCGCCAGCAAGUGGCGGCAAGCGCUGACACGCGCCUCCACGCGCCAGCAAGUUGAUCGUGAGUGAGCCCGAGCUGCUACGCGCUCGAGCGCGCGAACCCUCGCGUUUGAUAACGCGCGAGCCGACUAGAGCCGGAACGCGCCGAUCCCGGUCAACCAAGAGCCGUUGACCGUUGACCCGAGCCGCUUACCGAUCAACCUGAGCCGUUGGACGAGUGACCAGCCGAGCCGCGACCAGUCAAGUCCAGCGUUAACCAGCCGCCGCUGACCGUUGACUGGUCAACGUUGGACCUUAACCAGCCGUUUGACCCGAAAAGUGAUGCGUGAAAUUACACUUGCGGUCCCUGAACUUCUGAUAUUUUCAUUUGGUCCCUGAAGUUUGGGACAUGCAGUUUGGGUCCCCCGGACUUUGGAAAUUGCAAGAGGUCCCUGGAAAAAUUGAAAAUUUCAAUUUUAGUCCCUAAAGUUUCAAUUCGAGCAAUUUGGGUCCCAGAAGGUCUGAUUGUUUUGCCGAAAAAGCCUCUCUGAGUUUUCUCGGCGUCGGAUCCAUCCGCGGGUCGGUUUCGAAGAUUUUGACUUCUAUUCUAGAGACGUAAUAUGGCGGAGUCUAAUUUGGGAGCUAUGAUAUGCUUUCAGCUACAAAUUCGCUUCUAUGGAAAACCGAGGAUGGAGACAUACUAUUUUGCAAAGAGAUUUGCAUGAUCCUUAGAGAGUAAAGGAGAAAAACGGCAGAGAAGAAAGGAUGAGGAGUGGACGCAGAGAACAGAAAAUAAUCGGGCUAAUCGAAGUGCAUUGGACACGAGGUGUUCCACCACGAGCCAAGAGAGAGUGCUUACGAUUUAGGACCAAAUGGAGAAGAAAUGUACCAGCGAAGGACAUCUCGGAACAGGCCUUUAUUGAUGAGGAGGCUGUAAAUUUGAAACUAAGAGAGGGACCGUGGGAAAUUACAAGUGAGUUCCAGAAUUUGGUCAACCAAUGAGCAGUGUUGACCGAAUAUUUGACGAUAGAUGCAGGAACUAUGCUUUGGAGUUCUUUACUGAAGUUGGGAGACAUUGGUGGGUUCUCUCAAUAAUUCGGCGCAGGAUGGGAAGUGACCUUUGAAUACAGUCAAGGAUGCCUAUUUUCAACGAAGCAGCACGGCCGCAGAGAUGGGAAGACGAGCGAAGUGGUCGCAGGCCUACAUCCAGACGACGCCGGGAAAGAGGUCGAGGGUCACCAGAGGAAUAAUGGGAGCGGCGGGCGAGGUCACAUCAGGGGGUAGCCGUUUUACGUGUUUUUUCGGGAGCAAGAAGCGGCUUAUGAAGAGACAUUGCCCAACGUAUCCAGCACAGAUCCCAGUCUUCAGGAGACCGCAUCCGCUCGGCAUCCCGUGAUGACCGCUUCCGAUCCUGAUGCAUUCCUCGUAUCAUCGGCAGAUAGAUCAGCCUGGGUAUUGGAUUCAGACGUGCUACCAUUUUUGUAGCGACAGGCAGAUGCUCCACAUAGUCACACUGCGAGGGCCUUGUACGGCUGGCCGAACAACAGCCGACCCAAGUUGGUGCCAGGGCCCAGUCCGUUCCGCACUGGCAGACGGAGGUAUGUCACGUGACCGAGGUACGGCAUGUUCCCCAACCUACGCAGCAUUUAAUUCCCUCGGCAUGCUAGAUUCAAUGGGUGCGCAUUGCCGCCGGGCGGGAAUCUUGCGAAUUCCCCAGGCAAACACCGAGCUGCUGACGGGGACCGGCCGAUCAAGGACAUCUCGCCUGGAGGGCCUGUCAACGGCCGCGGAUGCUGUCCGACAUAGGUCCCGUGCUAUAAGACGGGACGGAAUGGACAAGGGAAGCAACAGUGCACACCGGCACACAAAGCACGCGCAGAGACACCUGGAGGCGCAGAGUGGUACGCAAGGAGCUGCUUGAGAAAGUGCGAAGUCUGACCGCGAAAAGACCAGUGCGCCAGUGCCGGACGUCCCCUAGCACAAGGUCCAGCGGAAGGAGGACAAAGUCGAUUCGACGGUUGUAAAUCGACAGCGCGACGUCGCCGAAACGAGUCUCUUUUGCUUCGAUUGAUUCGUGGCAGUGAUUUUCAGAUGUGUACACAAGGGAGGAGAGAGCGAGCCCCGACGACUCGCAAAGUGAUGUACUUUGCGGAAGCUCUCCGUGAGGGGGAGCUGAGCACCUAAGGAAGAAGGUGCAGGCACUUCAGAUGGCGUGGGCAUUGCCCAUGAGAGGGCAAGAUUAUCUCGGAUGCAGUUUGCAGAUCUUACGGGGGAGCUGGAUCAGACGUUGUCAGGAUGGAAACUUGAAGAGUCAGAGUCCCCGUCCAAUGGGGCUGGAGGGGGCGAUUGUUGGAUCCAGCCCAGGGAGCCAAGCCCAUUAAGCCAAAUAGAAAGCCCAAGGCCCAAGUCUUCCAUGCUUGCAAUUCCUUCAUCCUCUCUUCCAGAAGCAGCCUCAAGUUGGCAAUAUGUCAGAGACAAAGUCUCUGAUAGAGGCGGAGGAAGGAAAAUAAUGGCAGAGGAGAGACGGAUCGGCUGGUGAUAUGUCAACAAUGGAGGCGAUCCUCAUAAGGGAGCAGAGAAGAGAGGGGAAGUGAGUGGGGGAUAAGUCCAGAGAGUGAGGGAAGAGGGCUGUAUAAAUUGAGUGAGUGCCGGAGUGAAGAGAGCAAGACUUGAGAUAGAGGAAGAGUGAGUGAGUGUGUCUCCUCCUUUGUAUUUAUUUAAUCAUUUUGAUAGUGAAUAACAGAUUCUCCUCCGUGGACGUAGGCAUUGUUGGCCGACACGUAAAAUCUUGUUUGUGUGUGUGGGGAUGUUAGUGGAGUGACUGGUAACUCGUGUGGGCACAACAAGAAACCCCAUAAUGCUAAGAUGGUUGAUAAGAAUAAGUCUUAGAUAAGCUGCCUUUCUAUAUUCCUUGUAAUAGGAAGGUUUGACAGCCUCGAACACUCACGCCUUGGUCUCAAUGGAUUCUCCAUUGACCAAAAAAAAGUUGGCCCAUUUAUUAAAAGAAGAAUAUGCAAAAUCACAAGGGAGCAAUUCAGUUCGGAAAAUAAUCAAAACAAAAUAGAGAGAGAUGGCGGUCAUGUGAGUCAUGCAAAAGUCUUGAACACGCUAGAGAGAGAGAGCAACACUAACUCUUCUAUAUAUUAUCUUCCAAUCCCAUUUGACCUCUUUUUAUUUUGUUAUUUUAUUUUUAUCUAUUGUUCGACAAAAUUAUUAAUUAUAUUGAAAGGGAAACAAGUUUUGAUAACUUCAUCCUGAAAACUAACAGGUGUAUAUUUUCAAUGAACAUACGAUAAUUAAAGUUUUUUUCGACCUAUCGUGGGGUGAAAUGUAUUUUCCCAUAGUACUACUGCUAACAAGUAACAAUUAUGACAAAUAUAAAAUAUAUAAAGCUUCUUCCUUACCUUCAUUAGCCGAGAAAUGAUUGAAACAUAGACUGGGUAGUGGGUAUAUUUUGAUCAAGUUUUUUUUCCUUUUUUAUUUUUUUUUUUUCUCCCUUUUUUAAAAAAAAAAAGACAAAUUUUAGUUAAAUAUAAAUAUAAAUAUGAAUAGGGAGCAUUGUCAAUCACCAUUUGGAGAAUAUAUUGAUCAAUAAUAAGGAUCAUAAAAGUUGCGUCAAUAGUUAGAAUGUUCCCUUUAUAUUGAAAGAGAUUGGGUAAUCUAUAAUUUAGAUAAGAAUCAUUAUCGGAUAAGAAUUUGGAACUAUUCAAUAAUAGGAUCAUAGUUCUAGAAACGACCGGACAUUGAUAACGGUCAAAGCACAGUUAAACGGUCAUGUUCAACCAGGUUCAACCGGAUUUAUAAUUAAUUAAAAAUAAAUUAUAUAUUUUAUUAUAAAUAAUAAAAAAUAUUUGUUGUACCCAUUUAUAGUAAAAAUUAAUCAUAGUAAAAAUAUUAAAAAAUUAACAAAUUCAAUUCAAAAUUUGAGGUCAACCUGUAAAAAUUAAACCUUCAAUUGUUCUGUUUAAAAAAACCGCGGUUCAAUCAGGUUAGCUUGGAUUUCCGUAAAAUAGUGUAACGAAAACCGGUUUAAUACCGAUUUCCGGUUGAACCGGUCAGUCGCUCGAUUUAAUAAUAUGAAUAGGAGAAACAAGGAUAUGGAUAUUCGACGAUUUGGAAAAGUGAAUCGUCUCGAAUGUUCACUGUAUGAUAUUAGAAAUAUUCAUUAAUAGGAUAAAUCUAGUCAGUAAUGAGUAGAAGUCUACCACCAAAGCCCCCAAGCCCCACAUUGAUGAUGACCAACCUUCUAACCACUUGAAUGGUUUCAUUAUAUGAACAUAUAGUGUGAUUUCAGCCACAGAUGAACAUCUCUUGCAUGCAGUCACCAAUUCUCUUAUAUCAGGCGCG
rnacentral:lncRNA from 1 species